UCAGAGGAAGGCUGUCUAGGGCACAAACC
rnacentral:piRNA from 1 species